rnacentral:lncRNA from 1 species
ACUGGCAAAUAAAUUAACAAAACACUGGCAUAACUAAAUCCAAGACAGCGAGCACCGGAUAACCGAGGAAGGACAUUAAAAUGAAGUCAGCAACAAAUUAAGUCAUAAAAUAUUCAUGCAUCAGCAUUCUUAGUGGAAGCAUAAAUCAGAGUGCGAAAUAUAUACACGCCAAGGUUCUAAAAUGAGGAGCGAAAUAUUAUGACACUAUUCAACAUUGGUGUCAUAGGUUGCUAACAUAGUAGAGAUUCAGUUGGAAUUAGAAAAAUCUUGAAGGAUAAGAUUUACAAUUGCAAUGCGCCAUCUCAGUUGUAGCACAAUGUGGAAUGAUUUAUGAGCGGUCCAAAGGAAUCAUAACAAUAAUUGUGGCAAUUAUUUGCUGCCGGUAUGAUGAGGUACAUUGGAAUCAUCCCACGAAAAGAGCAUCACACUUCUUGUAUCUUGGAAGCCUCCAAUAAGGGCAGAUCCCUCAUCACUGUCGUGUAAAGGCGUACGUUGGCUGAAAGUAUGAUUUUUUUUUUCACGAUUGUAUGGUAAGCUACAGGUGACCCUUGAUCACAUUACCAGAGACAACUGGCACCCACUAUGGCGGCGUCGCGCAUAGUCCAGCGACAGUGUUGAAUUAGCACAAAUUAGGCUAACACCAGCACAGCCUAGCUAGAACAAAGUUUUUCUAAUUUGAAUACAAAGCGGGACAGGUUCGGGCGUCGUGUUACAUCCCUAGAGACAACGUAAUAGGGAGGCUUCGCAAUGGUGUUGUUGGGCUUCACAAACUGAAAUAAUUAGCAGUUCUGCAAGCUAUUCUUGGAUUUGGUUUUCUCCAAAUUCUCAUGAAACUAAUUAAGUUGAAGGUCAAAUGGUCAAGCCUAUCUUAUUGAGAAUCCGAUAGCAUGGAUGAUAUGAUAAUCAGGAGGAAUGGUUAGUGUAUAUAUAGAGGUGAGAGAGGAAGGGAGUAAGACUGGCGGAGUGGUUAUUGAAAGGAGAAACAAACCCAUGCUAGCUCACGGUUAGCAUGAUGGCUCUGCAAUAUCAAUAUUAUCGUGAGCAAAAGUUUCUUGCAACCCCACAACUCGUGUGACAAGGUUAACAAUAUAUAUUCGCCCCAAAAACCAAAAAGAAUCAAAAGAUAUGCCGUUAGAAGUAGGCACCCAGUAUUUCUGCACCAUAAUGACUCAUAUACUGCCUCCAUUCCUACAAUACACAAGAGCUUUUUUAUGGUACCCUAUACUUCUAUGAGAAGGGAGCAGUAUAUGUUUAAUCUCAUCGUUGAUUUCUUAAGGGCAUUUUAGUCCCUAAUUUUCACAUUAAAACUUUAUGUUUGUAUCUAUCACGAGAAAAUGCCGCCGCCUAGCAAUCUCACCUCACAUCGCGCCCCCAAGCAGGCAAGCCUCACCUCAAUCCCAAUACAUCCACCCCAUAUGCCUAGCCGGCCGUCCAACUCCCCUCAGCCCCUCUUGCCGCUGUCGCUGCCAUUGCAUUAGUUGGCUCUGUCCAAUCGCCAUGCUCCUCUUGUAGACCUUGCAGGAUCGUACAUCGAUGACCUUUCGGCAGGUCUUGAACAUCCACUGCCUUAUUGUGGAUUAGAAGUUCAGUUAUUCAUAAUUGGGUAUAAAUUUCUUCCAAACGUUAAUUGUCGCUCCUAGGAAGUAACCAAGCAUGAUUGCCCACAGACUGAACUAAUGUACUUAGCAACUUAAAACCUGAAUUUACGGUGGACAUGGACAACUCUACAAAGGUAAAUACUAAACUAUCCGUGAACACCUUUCGCCUACGUACUGUUGUCUUGGAGCCAUGGCGGGGAUGAUGCAUUUCUAUAUAGCUUUCUUUUCGACGGCGGCAAGCUCGUGAGCGGCGUCCGGUGUUUUUGCUACUAUUGAAUCAGGACACUGUAAGUAGCCUAAGCCAACGCCUCACAUACGAUUUGGUGAGGAGGACGGGUGGGAGAUGUCAGGUGAGACCUGCACCAAGCCACCGAGCGUCUGGUCCACGACUGAUUCACGAAGGGAUGGGAGAUGGGCUUAUGGAGAUGCAUGCGUGCGACGACGGAAAGAAUGAGAGAGAAAACGAGUGGAUCGCAUCAAUUAAUCUGACAAGUUAAAAAUAUCUUUCCAAAUUGCCCUCUAAUCUCAUACACUGCUCGCCUUAAACGAGCAGUGCACGUUAUACUACUAACCUAAUUCAGGAAGUAUAGAUCUUUUUGAGACGUUGGAUCUUCAAGAAUGAACGGCCAAUAUUCAUUUCAGGGUACCAUAAAAGAGCUCAUACACAAUAAUCUUCAUGCAUCUACGAGUUCUACAUCGUAUUAGAGCGGUUAGUCUCACGACGCCGAUCCUAGGUUCCUCAACCACUUCCGCGGCACGCCGCCUUCGGAAAGAUUGAUCUCUUCUCCUCGGGGGCGCGGCACCCGGUUUUGAUCGAAGGUUCGAUCGGUUCUUUAGAUUAGAUGAAUUCCACUUUUCGAAAUUUCUUAGAUCGAUUCUUUUUUGGCCACAAAUAAUUCCUACGAUCCUCAAAAUCCGGUGAAAAUCCCAUCAAGCAAAUUGACGAAACUCACUAGUAGAAAACAGGGCUUUGGUUCGGACCUGGCCAGCCCAUUAGUCCCGGUUCUUCAUGAACCGGGACCCAUGGGGGGCAUUAGACCCGGUUCAUGAGCCCAAGGGGCUGGCCGGGGCCUCGUGGGCAUUGGUCCCGGUUCGUCUGGACCCAUUAAUCCCGGUUCUAGUCACGAACCGUGACCAAUGGACCGCGCUCCUGGCCCAUAUCCAUUGGUACCGGUUCGUGCCUUGAAGCAGUAUAGAAGGGGGGGGGGGCUUUAUCCCGGUUUAUGCCACGAGCCGGAACAAAUAAUUUGUCUAUAUAUACCCAUCGCCGCGGCAGAGCACUCUGUUUUUUCUGACCGGCGGGGGGAGGGUGAAGUAGGCACCCACUAUUUCUGCAACAUAAUGACUCAUAUAUACUGCCUCCAUUCCUACAAUACACAAUAAUAUUCACGCAUCUACAAGUUCUUCAUGAUAUUAGAGCGGUUAGUCUCACGACGUCGAUCCUAGGUUCCUCAACCACUUUCGCAGCACGCCGCCCCCGAAAAGAUUGAUCUCUUCUCCUCGGGGGCGCGGCACCCGGUCUUGAUCAAAGAUUGAAUCGGUUCUUUAGAUUAGAUGAAUUCCACUUUUCGAAAUUUCUUGGAUCGAUUCUUUUUUAGCCAUAAAUAAAUCCUACGAUCCUCAAAAUCUGGUGAAAAUCCCAUCGCAAUCAGUGCAGGCGGCCAUGCGCCCACAGGCGACUACAUCCUUUCCGAGCAAAUUGACGAAACUCCGGCCUCCGAUUGCAGUGCACGGUGCGCUAAUAAAUACGUGCGCAUGCACUGAUCCGGCCGGCUCCAGACGGCGAUAUCGACCAAGCGCACGGGCGCUUGAUGGCCUACCGGAUCUAGCUGGCCGGGAUGCAUCAACACGGAACUUGAUCGAGUCGCUCCACAAGGACGGCAUAAGAGAAAAUCUUAAAAUGAUAUGUCGAUUUAGUCUUUUGGAGAUACUUAUAGGGAUAGGAUGUGCGUGCGUGCGUUCAUAUGGAUGCGUAUAUGUGUGUGUAUAUGAGCGCUUACGUCUGUACUAUGUUUAAAAAAAAGGCUGCGGCCGGGUCCAACCACUGCACGUGCAUGCAUCUACAUCAACCGCUUCAUCAGCGAGCCUGUUAGAGUUGUGCCGAAUAUUAUGUACAAGGUAGGUUACGAUUGGACUUGUAGUUGUAUUGUCUUUAGACAGGAUAUGGAAUCGUGUCCAAGCAGGACACUUAUAUCGUAGGCCUCUCAUAUAUAGCGGGGCUAGACACACGAUGUAAUCUAUGCCAACAUAAUAGUACAGGCACACGGGGGAGCCGGCGACGUGUGCCGCUGCCCCGGCGACGGGGUGCGGUAUUAUGACGAUGUCACGGGGAGGAGCACCCGUAGUCAUGCUCCGGGGAUGUAGCCAUAUCGGUGAACCUCGUUAACAAAUCUCGAUGUCGUGCUUAUGCGAUUGCUUGUUCUUCGAUGAUCAAUAAAGUGCCCUAGAUUAAUUCUAACAGAUGGUAUCAUGAGCCAGGUUCGAGAAGGUUGCGGGAUCGUUGAUUAAGAGAAAGAGUAUCAGGCCAAAGCAAGUUGUCUCGCUCGGUUGCAGCGUGUUCCUCGUCGGGAUCGGAUCAGACGUGGAAGCGACGGCACACUGCGGAAUACGCUUCUUGCGAUGCCGCGAGUUGGGCCACGUACGGAGCGAGGCGAUAUGGUGAUCUCGGCGAGUUGCGGGUGUACCGUGUACGCAGGCUACAACAGAUCGAUCGUACAUGAGUGAGGCGAUGGUGUGGAGCGAGGCGGGUGCGUGUGCCGUGUGGAGCGAGGCACUGGGACGUACGUACACUGAGGCCCAUAGUUUGGCAGGAGUCCUGUAGGCGCACGGCGAGCGAGGGCCUGUGGUGCGAGUACCGACGGAGCAAGCUAGCGUGGAGGCCGAACUUGGCUGAUUGUGUAAAGAGAUUGGGGCUGAAGCACUACGUACAAGCUGCAAAAGCAUGAGAUUUGUUAAGAAAAAACAAAAGGAAGCUACGUAACAGAUUGAUGCUAACCAUUGGGAGAAAGAGUUAGAGAAGAUCAAUGGAUCUACAGCCUACAGGAGCACGUGGUGGUCUUUUGGAAUUCUUUUGUUUGAUCUCCAUGGCCAAGUGCAACGGGAAGGCUUACAUGGCAGAAUUUGGUUUUAUUUCUUUGUACACAGGUUGUGUAUGAGAUGGUGCGUGAGGGUCUGUGAUGUGCGUGGCGAGGAUGGCGUAUAAGGUUUGAAGAAGUCUGGAGCGCGUCGUGACAGGGAUCAUGCAUUCACACGGCGAUAAGCAAUGCACGGAUGUGUGAGGCGGAUAUGACGCAAGGUGGAGCAUGGUUGCAGCCAGAUAAAUCUCGGCUGGGUCGAACUGGAUUGUUGACGGAUCGAUGAGGAUGUCGGUCAAAGCAGAAGAUGACGGUGAUUUCAGCAACGACGACAUUUGAGCGUGAUGCUGAUGGUGGCCACCUUCUGGGGCGUGGAAACUCGAGGGCUUGUACGGCUUCGACAGACUAUGACGCAGGGUUGAUUCAAGGCAGUGCACACAUGAGAGCUUAAAGUCGACAGGGCACAGGGUAGCACGGCCAGCUACAUGGAGUCAUGUUGAAGGUGGAGCUGGAGUCUGGUGGAAGACUUUACUCUGUGCUGAUGGAGGGGCUACAGCGUAAGAAUUCGGAGAAUCGUAGCCUAUUUCAGUGGGAUAGCGAGAGACACGUGGAUCGGACUGGGUACCAGUGGUCUGAUGGAGACGUGAUACUCGGCAUCGGUCGGUGAUGAUCGGUGGUUCUCUGCAAUGGGGUUUGAGUGGUGUGGGUUCGCGGCCUUGGGAGACUCGACCAGGACAACAGAGGCUCGACGCGGUGAUAGCGACGAGGCGUGCGGUAAGCACGGGAUACAGCGAGAUACCAAGGCACUGGUGGUCAGACAUGUGGUCAGACAAAGUGUGUAGAGGGUGCUGAAGCAGUGUUGACAAGUACCAGAUUGAAGUUGGUGACUGGGUCUAUCGAUGCUAGUUGAUGGACAGGAGUUGACCAUGGAGAAUCUGAGAAAGUGACGGAAAGUCUGAAAUUGUCAAAAAUGGAGAGAGUACAUGGUCGUAUAUUCUGUGGUGUUCAGUGCACAUGAUAAAGUGCAAAUGACAAGUACAGAAGGAGACGGAGUGCUAUAGUUGUGGGACAUGUCAGAGACUAUUCGGGAAAAAGGGUGAGACAACUGGGAAUUUGACUCAGGAUGACACAAGACGACGGUGAAACUCCUUCCAGUUUCAGACGGACAGUCAAGAAAGAGCGAGGAUGUUGAGUUCAGGUAAAUCUUAUAUAUGUCAUUCAAUAUGUGAGUUGUUCCCUUUCACGCAGGUCAGUGAUCAGUGUGUGAUCACGUUGAACGGAUACUCCGGAAGUUGGAAGCACAAAGUAGAGUGCUACCUCUUGAGCUUGCGUUGGUUUUUUCCUUGAAGAGGAAAGGGUGAUGCAGCAAAGUAGCAGUAAGUAUUUCCCUUAGUUUGAGAACCAAGAUAUCAAUCCAGUAGGAGUAUCAAGUCAAGUCUCCAAAGUACCUGCGCAAAAACAACAAACUUGCACCCAACGCUACAAAGGGGUUGUCAAUCCCUUCACGCUUGAUUGCAAGGUGAGAUCUGAAGGCGGAAAGUGCAACAAAGUAAAAGUGUAGAGCUGAAAAUAUGAUGUGAAGUAGACCCGGGGGCCAUAGUGUUCAGUAGAGGCUUCUCUCAUGAUAUCAAAUAUUACGGUGGGUGAACGAAUUACUGUCGAGCAAUUGAUAGAACCGCAAAGUCAUAACGAUAUCUAAGGCAACGAUGAUACAUAUAGGCAUCACGUCCGAGACAAGUAGACCGAUACUUUCUACAUCUACUACUAUUACUCCACACAUCGACCGCUAUCCAGCAUGCAUCUAGCGUAUUGAGUUCAUAACAAACAGAGUAACGCCUUAAGCAAGAUGACAUGAUGUAGAGGGAUAAAUACAUGCAAUAGAUAUAAACCCCAUCUUUUUACCCUUGAUGGCAACAACACGAUGCGUGCCUCGCUACCCCUUCUGUCACUGGGUGGGGACACCGCACGGUAUGAACCCAAAACCAAGCACUUCUCCCAUUGCAAGAACUAUAGAUCAAGUUGGCCAAACAAAACCCACAACUCGAAGAGAAUUACAAGGAUAUGAAAUCAUGCAUAUAAGAGAUCAGAGGAAACUCAAAUAAGAUUCAUAGAUAAUCAGAUCAUAAAUCCACAAUUCAUCGGAUCUCGACAAACACACCGCAAAAUAGGAUUACAUCGGAUAGAUCUCCAUGAAGAUCAUGGAGAACUUUGUAUUGAUGAUCCAAGAGAGACAAGAAGCCAUCUAGCUACUAGCUAUGGACCCUAAGGUCUGUGGUGAACUACUCACGCAUCAUCGGAGAGGCAAUGGUGUUGAUGACGAAGCCCUCCAUGUCUGAAUCCCCCCUCUGGCAGGGCACCAGAAUGUGCCCCAGAUGGGAUCUUGCGGAGACAGAAGCUUGCGGCGGCGGAAAAGUAUUUUCGUCGCUCUCUCCCGUGGUUUCAGAUUUUUCGGGGAUUUAUAGGCGGAAGAGGUAGGGCAAAGGAGCCACGGGAGGCCCACAAGCCUACUAGGCGCGGCUCCCCAGGCCAAGACUAGGAGGCUUGUGGCCUUCCCCGGGAGCCUUUGCCUUGGUUCAAGGAAAUACAUUCAAUCAAAGAGCAACUAUCAUAAUUGAAUUCCUUGAAAUCCAAAGUAGUAAUUUCAUUACUACUCAAAGUUUUGAUAUCCUCUACUCCACUUUCAAUGCUUUUAGCAUCGAGAUAGAUAGACUCCCAAUCAUUGGGGUGUUUCUCAACCAAAGUGGAUUCAUAUCCAGCCCCAUCAUCAUUAGGCUUGACAUUAGAAAACAAGGAUUCAAUGGGAGUCACACCAAGCACUUUAAGAUCUUCGUGAUUCUCAUCACGAGAACUCGCCUUUUUAAGCCAUUCAUGUCUAGCACGAAUUUGGGCGGUUCUUUCUUUACUCUCAUUCAUGGAACCAUGCAUAGCUUUCAAAGUUUCAUCCAUAUUGAUCUUGGGAGGAGCACAUCUCACUUUCAAAGCAUCAAUAUCAAGAGACAUUCUAUCAAUGGUCCUAGCCAAGUCAUCAAUUUUGAGUAGUUUUUCUUCUAUGGACACAUUGAAAAUCUUUUGCGAGUUGAUAAACUCUUUAGUAAUACACUCUAAAUCACAGGGUAAUUUCUUGUAAUUUCCAUGAGCAUUGUUGUAGGAAUUGCCAAAAUUAUUAGAGGGAUUACUAGGAAAAGGCCUAGGAAUAUAGUUACCUCUAAAAGCAUUGUUGUGGCCAAAAUUAUUCCUACCAACAAAAUUAACAUCCGAGCUCUCAUUGCUACUCUCAAUCAAGGAAGACAAGGGCAUAUCAUUUGGAUCUAAAGGAGUACCUUUACUAGCAAACAAUUUCAUUAACUCAUCCAUCUUAGCACUCAACGAGUUAAUUUCUUCUAUAGCAUGCAUUUUUUUACUAGCAGGUGACCUUUCAGUGUGCCAUUGAGAAUAGUUUGUCAUGAUAUUGUCUAGGAGUUUUGUGGCUUCUCCUAAUGUGAUUUUCAUGAAAGUUCCACCGGAAGCCGAAUCAAGGAUAUUUCUAGAAGCAAAAUUCAAACCAGCAUAGAACAUUUGUAUGAUCAUCCAAAUACUCAAGCCAUGAGCAGGACAAUUUCUAAUCAUCAAUUUCAUUCUCUCCCAAGAUUGUGCAACAUGUUCAUGAUCCAGUUGCUUAAAGUUCAUGAUAUCAUUACGGAGAGAGAUAAUCUUAGCCGUUGUAAAAUACUUGGAUAUAUAAGCAUCUUUGCACUUGUUCCAAGAAUCAAUACUAUUUUUGGGCAAAGACGAAAACCAUGUUUUUGCUCGAUAUCGCAAUGAGAAUGGAAAUAGCUUCAAUUUAAUCACAUCAUUAUCCACAUCUUUCUUUUUUUUGUAUAUCGCAUAAAUCAAUGAAGAUAUUAAGAUGGGAUGCGACAUCUUCACUAGGAAGGCCAGAAAAUUGCUCUUUCAUAACAAGAUUCAGCAAAGCAGCAUGGAUUUCAUAUGAUUCCGCACUAGUGGAAGGAGCAAUCGGAGUACUAAUAAAAUCAUUAUUAUUACUAUUCGAGAAGUCACAAAGUUUGGUGUUUUCAGUCAUGGUGACUUCAGCAAGCAGACAAGCACACAAGCGAACAGAAAGCAAGCGAAAGAAAAGGGAGUACGAAAAAGGCAAAUAUUUUUGUAAAUUUUUGUUUUUCAGAAAUGGGGGAGAGGAAAACGAGAGGCAAAAAAAAGUAAAUGCAAGAGAUGAGUUUGCCACAGUUACUUGGAUAAGCUUCACUUAGAAUAAUCCCCGGUGCCAGAAACUGACACAAGGAAGACUAUUCUUGACUUGAUGCUCCCCGGCAACGGCGCCAGAAAUUCUUCUUGCUACGUCUUGAGCUUGCGUUGGUUUUUCCCUUGAAGAGGAAAGGGUGAUGCAACACAGUAACAGUAAGUAUUUCCCUCAGUUUGAGAACCAAGGUAUCAAUCGAGUAGGAGUAUCAAAGCAAGUCUCCAAAGUACCUGCGCAAAAACAGCAAACUUGCACCCAACGCUACAAAGGGGUUGUAAAUCCCUUCAAGAUUGAUUGCAAGGUGAGAUCUGAAGGCGGAAAGUGCAACAAAGUAAAAGUGUAGAGCUGAAAAUAUGAUGUGAAGUAGACCCGGGCGCCAUAGUGUUCACUAGAGGCUUCUCUCAUCAUAGCAAAUAUUACGGUGGGUGAACAAAUUACUGUCGAGCAAUUGAUAGAACCGCGCAAAGUCAUGACGAUAUCUAAGGUAAUGAUCAUACAUAUAGGCAUCACGUCCGAGACAAGUAGAUCGAUACUUUCUGCAUCUACUACUAUUACUCCACACAUCUACCGCUAUCCAGCAUGCAUCUAGUGUAUUGAGUUCAUAACAAACAGAGUAACUCCUUAAGCAAGAUGACAUGAUGUAGAGGGAUAAAUUCAUGCAAUAGAUAUAAACCCCAUCUUUUUACCCUUGAUGGCAACAACACGAUGUGUGCCUCGCUACCCCUUCUGUCACUGGGUGAGGACACUGCACGGUAUGAACCCAAAACUAAGCACUUCUCCCAUUGCAAGAACUGUAGAUCAGAUUGGCCAAACAAAAGCCACAACUCGAAGAGAAUUAGAAGGAUAUGAAAUCAUGCAUAUAAGAGAUCAUACGAAACUAAAAUAAGAUUCAUAGAUAAUCUGGUCAUAAAUCCACAAUUCAUCGGAUCUCGACAAACACACCGCAAAAGAGGAUUACAUCGGAUAGAUCUCCAUGAAGAUCAUGGAGAACUUUGUAUUGAAGAUCCAAGAGAGACAAGAAGCCAUCUAGCUACUAGCUAUGGACCCGAAGGUCUGUGGUGAACUACUCACGCAUCAUCGGAGAGGCAAUGGUGUUGAUGAAGAAGCCCUCUGUGUCCGAAUCCCCCCUCCGGUAGGGCACCAGAACGUGCCCCAGAUGGGAUUUGCGGAGACAAAAGCAUGCGGCGGCGGAAAAGUAUUUUCGUGGCUCUCUCCCGUGGUUUCAGAUUUUUCGGGGAUUUAUAGGCGGAAGAGGUAGGGCAAAGGAGACACGGGGGGCUCACAAGCCUGCUAGGCACGGCCCCCCAGGCUGCGGCUAGGGGGCUUGUGGCCUCCCCUGGGAGCCUUUGCCUUGGUGCUCAAGCUUCCUGCAUAUCUUCUAUUCCAGAAAAAAAUCUUUUCGAAGGUUUUAUUCCGUUCGGACUCCGUUUGAUAUUCUCCUCUGAAAAAGGUCAACAACACGGAAAAAACAGGAACUCGCACUUGGCACUGAGUUAAUAAGUUAGUCCCAAAAAGAUAUAAAAUGCAUAUAUAACAUCCAAAGUUUGACAAGAUAAUACCAUGGAACCAUAAAAAAUUAUAGAUACGUUGGAGACGUAGCAUAGAGUAAUAAGGAACUUAACGUUGCUCGAGGGUUGACUGUGAAGAAGACGAGAAGGGACUACAGUUGCAGGUGGAGUCACAUGGAGUCUAGGAGUAGCCGCGAUGCUCAUGACGUAUCUCAAGUCCAAUGUACAUGGAGGUUCAAUGCAUAGAUGAAUCCAAGGUGACGGAGAAUAUUCGCCAAGGUGGAGUUUGUUAGAGUUGUGUUGAAUAUUGUGUACAAGGUAGGUUACAAUUGGACUUGUAGCAGUAUUGUGUUUAGACAGGAUAUGGAGUCGUGUCCAAGUAGGACACUUAUAUCCUAGGCCUCUCAUAUAUAGUGGGGCUAGACACACGAUGUAAUCUAUGCCAACAUAAUAGUACAGGCACGCGGGGGAGCCGGCGGCAUGUGCGAGCGCCCGGGCGGCCGGGGUGCGAUAUUGUGACGGUGUCACGGGGAGGAGGGUCCGUAGUCAUGCCCCGGGGAUGUAGCCAUAUCGGUGAACCUCGUUAACAAGUCUCGGUGUCGUUCUUAUGCGAUUGCUUGUUCCUCGGAUGAUCAAUGAAUUGCCUCGGAUUAAUUCUAACAUAGCCGACCGACACCGUCUACACGAGGACGAACUAGUGCACACGGCCGACUCGAACCACUUCAUCAAGCUAACUACGAGUUAAUUCUUUGUCAAGCAUAUCUUCGAGAAGCGACAACAACACGUAUCACCCACACACCAGACCCGCGUGGAAAGAGAUGCAUUUUUUUAUCGACUUCUCCGGCACGACACGACAUCAACACUUCAUUGCCACAGAGACGCAUUCAAGUCGACAUGCCGCUGCAACGCCAUCACCGAUGUUUCGUCGCCAAGGUCUUCAUCGCCAUUGUCUUCUCCAACAUCUUCGUCAACACCUAGUGUCCUCUGAUAGAUUUUUCUGCAAGGCUCCACCUCGAUGACGGCAAUGACCGCGUCACGACAACGCCAUCGACCGCGUCAUCCACGACGGUACAACUGUAUCGAGAUGGCAUCACUACAGUGACGACCCCUACAUGGCAUCACGGUUCUGGCAAACCAAUGUGUGCUCGAUGGGUUUCCUCCGGUCUUGGCAAAACCGAUGGACUCAUCGCCGACGAAACCCUCUGACAUCCGCGUACCGCAAUUUUUUGCGUCUCCGGCUUCGUGCGGCUUCAUCAUCGACGACGAUCACAUGUCGACCUGUUGGGGAACAUUGCAUGGGAAACAAAAAAAUUCCUACGCACACGAAGACCUAUCAUGGUGAUGUCCAUCUAUGAGAGGAGAUUAGAUCUACGUACCCUUGUAGAUCGCUAAGCAGGAAGCGUUAAGAAACGCGGUUGAUGUAGUGGUACAACUUCGUGCUUCAAAUCACCGUCGUCCCACGAUCCGUUCCGAUGUAGCGCCGAAGGAUGGCACCUCCGCGUUCAGCACACGUACACCUCGGUGAUGAUCUCGGCCUUCUUGAUCCAGCAAGAGAGACGGAGAAGUAGAUGAGUUCUCCGGCAGCGUGACGGCGCUCCGGUGGUGGUGAUGAUCUACUCCUGCAGGGCUCCGCCCGAGCUCCGCAGAAAUCUGAUCUAGAGGCAAAACUAUGUUGAAUAGGUUUGAGUUGCACGUGGCAAAGUUGUGUCUCAAAAACCCUAAAACCACCAGUAUAUAUAGGAGGAGGGGAAGGGAUAGCCUUGGGGCACAAGGGCCCCAAGGGUGCGCCGGCCGAAGUGGAGAGGAGGACUCCUUCUCGAAUUCGGUUUGGGAAGGAGGAGUCCUCCUCUUCCUUCCCACCUCCCUCUUUCCUUUUUUUUUCUUUCCUUUGGUGUUUUUCCCUUGUGGCGCCAUGGCCCAUUCGGCUGGCCUCACCAGCCCACUAAGGGCUGGUGCGCCAUCCUAGGGUCACUGGGCUCACUCCUGGGUGUGUGGGCCCUCCCGGUAAACACCCGAAACACAUUCGUCACUCCCGGUACACUGCCGGAAAUGCCCGAAACUUUCCGGUGACCAAAUGAAACCAUCCUAUAUAUCAAUAUUUGUUUCCGGACCAUUCCGAAACCCUCGUGACGCCCGUGAUCUCAUCCGGGACUCCUAACAACAUUCGGUAACCACACAUAUAACUCAACUAUACUAAAACAUCAUCGAACCUUAAGUGUGCAGACCCUGGGGGUUCGAGAACUAUGUAGACAUGACCCAGAUACUCCUCGGUCAAUAUCCAAUAGCGGGACUUGGAUUCCCAUAUUGGAUCCUACAUAUUCUCCAAAGAUCUUAUCGGUUGAACCUCAAUGCCAAGGAUUCAUAUAAUCCCGUAUGUCAUUCCCAUUUGUCGUUCGGUAUGUUACUUGCCCGAGAUUCGAUCGUCGGUAUCCGCAUACCUAUUUCAAUCUCAUUGCCGGUAAGUCUCUUUACUCGUUCCGUAAUACAAGAUCUCGUGACUUACACUUAGUCACAUUGCUUCCAAGGCUUGUUUGUGAUGUUGUAUUACCGAGUGGGCCCCGAGAUACCUCUCCGUCACACGGAGUGACAAAUCCCAGUCUUGAUCCAUACUAACUCAACGGACACCUUCGGAGAUACCUGUAGAGCAUCUUUAUAGUCACUCAGUUACGUUGUGACGUUUAAUACACACAAGGUAUUCCUCCGGUGCCAGUGAGUUAUAUGAUCUCAUUGUCAUAGGAAUAAAUACUUGUCACGCAGAAAACAAUAGCAACAAAAUGACACGAUCACAUGCUACGUUCAUAGUUUGGGUCUAAUCCAUCACAUGAUUCUCCUAAUGAUGCGAUCCAGUUAUCAAGUGACAACACUUGCAUAUAGUUAGAAAACCUUGACUAUCCUUGAUCCACUAGUGGGGACGGGGCCUUUAGCCCCGGCCCGUAAGGGGCUUUAGUCCCGGUUCACCAACCGGGACUAAAGGUGUGGGACUAAAGGCCUGACCUUUAGUCCCGGCCCUGUUACAAGCCGGGUCUAAAGGUGCUCCACGUGGGCGCCUCGUAGCGCCCCACGGGCAGGACCUUUAGUACCGGUUCGUUACACGAGCCGGGACUAAAGAGUUUCAGAUUUUGCUUAUUUUCGGGGUUUUUUUAAUGAAAUUGUUUUUGGGUUUUAGGGUUUUAGGGUUUAGGUGUUCGGGAAAUGCCUCGUUUGGUGUUCGGGAAUUAGUUUUCAUAUAAUUUAAAUAAAAAUAAUUAUGCAUAUAUAUAUAUAAGGUUAACUUAUCUUACAAGCGAGCAUAUAUAUAAAAUUAUAUGGAGAUCUGAAUUAUCGGGACUAGAGCCCAUCUAUUUGAUUACACGGACGAACAUCAGUAAUGGCCCCUAGCUACACUAAAUCGUCCUUUGUCAUCUAUAGCUUCCGUCCUCAGAAAGGUCGCAAGCUCCUCUGCAACAGCAAUCGCGCGUUGCUCUGGUAGGACCUUCGUCGUCAUGGUCGUGUGCUAUAUAAGAAGAGGAGAUGAAUAUGAAUAUCAAUCAUGAUAACAAAGAAUGACGGGUAAAAAUAGAGGUGUGAAUGUUCAUUGCUUACGUCGAAUCUGUGAUCCUUGUGCUUAGAGGUAAACGCACGAAUGGUCUCGCAAACAUAGUAUCCGCAUAGAUGCGUUCCCCGUGGCUGCUGGUCGCACUUUACGAGAAUAGAAUAUGUAUAAUCAAAAUAAUAAUCUAGCAUCAUAAAUGUAUUGAAAAUAGAAGUAUAUCAUACUACUACUUACCUGAGCCGCUCUAAAGGUCAACUUCUCAUGCUCGAUACCGGGAGUCACGCACUUGAACCGCUUCCAAACCCUGCCCGACAAGGAUAAUGAUUUGCUAAGUUUUUCAUUAAUUGAUAUAUCAAAAAAUCAUAGAAAGAGACCGAUAGAGCGCAAGAAUGAUUGAAAUUACCCUUGGAGCAUGUCCUGCAGGCUUUGGAACUGCUAUAAGGGUCUCGAUAAUGGUCAAAGGCAUCAACUCUUCCCUUAUCAAUUUGAAUGUCCAACCGAAUCCAAUGAAAGUUGCACAUGUAUAUAUAUAUAUAUGUGUUUGUCAGUAACUUAUCAAUUACACUUAUAAGUGAAUGGACACAACAGAGUAAAGACCCUCACCUGAAGUUGUAUGGAAACAAUAUGUGGUCACAGAAAUUUUGAUCUCUGAGAAACCUUAGAAGGUUUUCCUCCGUCUCCUUGGGAUAAUUAGUUAGCGUCGCUAUAUGUAUUUUAUCUGGGUCAGUAAACCCAAUAUUUAGGAUGCUCUUGCUAAAAAUAAACUAUUAACACUUAAGCAUAUACAAUAGCAAAAUUAAACUAUUAACACUUAAGCAUAUACAAUAGCAAAAUUAAGCAAUAAUCUAAGAAACACUAUUAACACUUAAGCAUAUACACUAUACAAUAACAAAAUUAAAUGACAAAAAAAAUAGUUCUUCUUCUUGUAACCCUAAACUAAUUUUUCCUUUUCUUCUAUUUCCUCUCUUCUUCUACUUCUUCUUCUACUUCUACUUCUCCUCUUCUUCUACUACUUCUCCUCUCCUCUUCUUCUAUUUUUCCUCUUCUUCUCCUCUCCUCCUCUUCUUAUUCUCCUUUUUCUUCUUUUCUUCUCCUCCACUUCUUAUUCUCCUUUUUCUUUCUUUCUUCUCCUUUUUCUUCCUUUCUCUCCUUUUUCUUCUUUUCUUCUCCUUUUUCUUCUUUUCUUCUCCUUCCCUUUUUCUUCCUUUCUNNNNNNNNNNNNNNNNNNNNNNNNNNNNNNNNNNNNNNNNNNNNNNNNNNNNNNNNNNNNNNNNNNNNNNNNNNNNNNNNNNNNNNNNNNNNNNNNNNNNNNNNNNNNNNNNNNNNNNNNNNNNNNNNNNNNNNNNNNNNNNNNNNNNNNNNNNNNNNNNNNNNNNNNNNNNNNNNNNNNNNNNNNNNNNNNNNNNNNNNNNNNNNNNNNNNNNNNNNNNNNNNNNNNNNNNNNNNNNNNNNNNNNNNNNNNNNNNNNNNNNNNNNNNNNNNNNNNNNNNNNNNNNNNNNNNNNNNNNNNNNNNNNNNNNNNNNNNNNNNNNNNNNNNNNNNNNNNNNNNNNNNNNNNNNNNNNNNNNNNNNNNNNUUUUCUUCUUUUCUUCUAUUUUUUCUUCCUUUCUUCUCCUUUUUCUUCCUUUCUUCUCCUUUUUCUUCUUUGCUUGUGCUGGCCGGAGUGUUGGGGAGGAGGGGGCGUGGGGCUUACCGGCCGGAGGUGUCGACGGCGCGCGGCGAGGAGGACGGCGGCGCACGGCGAGGAGGACGGGGCGGCACGCGGCGAGGAGGGCGGCGCGCGGCGAGGAGGACGGAGGAGGCGAGCAGGACGACGGCGACGGCGAGGAGGACGGCAGGCGGCGGCGAGCAGGAUGGCAGGCAGCCUGACGGCGUCGUCAAGUUCGUCGCUUGCCGCGCCGGGCAGGAGAACGAGAGGAAGAAGAAGAGAAAUGGACGAUUUGGAUACGAAAUUUUCUAACUCCCGCUUAUACAGGUGGAUCUUUAGUCCCGGUUCGUGGCUCGAUCGGGGACUAAAGCCCCUUUAGUCCCGGGUNNNNNNNNNNNNNNNNNNNNNNNNNNNNNNNNNNNNNNNNNNNNNNNNNNNNNNNNNNNNNNNNNNNNNNNNNNNNNNNNNNNNNNNNNNNNNNNNNNNNNNNNNNNNNNNNNNNNNNNNNNNNNNNNNNNNNNNNNNNNNNNNNNNNNNNNNNNNNNNNNNNNNNNNNNNNNNNNNNNNNNNNNNNNNNNNNNNNNNNNNNNNNNNNNNNNNNNNNNNNNNNNNNNNNNNNNNNNNNNNNNNNNNNNNNNNNNNNNNNNNNNNNNNNNNNNNNNNNNNNNNNNNNNNNNNNNNNNNNNNNNNNNNNNNNNGGAAGCAGGGGCCUUUAUUCCCGGGGCGUGGAAAGAACCGGGGCUAAAGUUUUGCCUAUAUAAACCCUCGCCCCUGCCCACCAUAUCCCCUGUUUUUUGGUUGUUGAAGUGUGACCAUGCCAUGCUCUUGCCACUCUAGUUCAUGCACAUGACGUGUUCGAUGAAAUGCCCGAGCCACUCUACUUAAGCUUUCUCCUCUCCAAGCUCGACCUCCAAGCUCCAUUUUCCUUAAUAUUUGUCUAGGUUUGACGUGCACCAACUGCGAGCACCACCGUGGUGAGCCUCUUGUUCUUAUCUUCUUUUUAAAAUCAAAAAAAAUUACUUGUAUGAUUUAGAUACAUACUUGUAUAAAUUACUCACUUUCAUUAUUUUUUGUUAUUAUAUAGUGCGAUGGUUUUGGUAUCCGCCUCCGUCGGCCCUCGUCCUGUAUAUGAUUCGGAUGUGGUAUAUAUUAUAUUUUAUAACUAUUUGUUUUAUUUAGUGUGUAUGACAAUUAUGACGACCAAUGUGACAUAUACUUUUUUAAUCUAGGAGGUAUGUGAACCGGAAAUUCCAACCCACAUAAAAAUUCUUGUCGAGAAGUUAAAUUUGGUUGAAAAAGAAAACAAAUACUUGAAGAAAAAAUUGAAAAUAAUUGAGGAUAAGAAUAUGGAACUCGAGCUGCAUAUCGCCGAUGUCAUCGAUGAUCGCAAGAUGAAGAUCGAUGCGAUGCGGUUGAAGAUGUAUGCAAUGGGCUUGAAGAUGGAUGAAAUGCGCUUGAAGAUUAGGAAUAUUAGAAAAUAUGCCAUUGAUAAAGAGGCUUGGUAUCAUUAUGCUCUUGGGUCAAUUGUAACCUUAGUUGCGAUUUUGAUUGCGUUUGUUGUUGCAUUUAAAUGUUUUACAUAGUUGUAUGUUGUUUUAUGAGAGAACUUUAUCUAUUUAUUUUUUGCAAUAAUAAUAUUUGAUACCUAUUGUUCUUUGGCUUUAAUUUGAUGAUGAACUUGUAUUAAUUUGGUCAUAUGUUCUGCAAUGGUUUUUUGAUAUAUUUAAUUUCAUAAUAGAGAUGAAUCGCCAAUGAUAAUAUUUAAUUUCAUAAUAUGGUUUUUUGAACUCCAUACUUUUUGUGUGUUCAACAAUUUCUGACUUCAUUUGGUAUAUUUCGUGCAUUUACUUUUUUUUGAGCUAGUUGACCCUGAAAUUGAAAAGCACUACAAAUGUUGAAAGUUGGCAUGCUAUCAUCAUUUCACCCACAUAGCAUGUGUUAAAAAGUUGAGAGGGCUACGACAAAAACUGGAUGCACUUCGUGUACAAAACGGACAAUCUCUCUCGAAGUAUUAUGGUUUCGAACGAGAACUCAUCUCUUACAAAAGGGAUUUCAUUUUUUUAAACUUAUUUGAAAUCCAUACUUUUUGUGUGUUAAAAAUGCACCAUUCAAAGGCAUAUCACAAAAUUUCAACAAUUUAUGACUUCAUUUGGUAUAUUUCGUGCAUUUACUUAAUUUUAUUGAGCUAGUUGACCCUGAAAUUGAAAAGCACUACAAAUGAACUCUGAAAAUGUUGAAAGUUGGCAUGCUAUCAUCAUUUCACCCACAUAGCAUGUGUUAAAAAGUUGAGACAGCUACGACAAAAACUGGAUGCACUUCGUGUACAAAACGGACAAUCUCUCUCGAAGUAUCGGGGUUUCGAACGAGAACCCAUCUCUUACAAAGGAAUUUCAUUUUUUGAACUUAUUUGAACUCCAUACUUUUUUUGUGUUAAAAAUGCACCAUUCAAAGGCACAUCACAAAAUUUCAACAAUUUCUAACUUCAUUUGGUAUAUUUCGUGCAUUUACUUUUUUUUGAGCUAGUUGACCCUGAAAUUGAAAAGCACUACAAAUGAACUCUGAAAAUGUUGAAAGUUGUCAUGCUAUCAUCAUUUCACCCACAUAGCAUGUGUUAAAAAGUUGAGAGGGCUACGACAAAAACUGGAUGCACUUCGUGUACAAAACGAACAAUCUCUCUCGAAGUAUGAGGGUUUCGAACGAGAACUCAUCUCUUACAAAGGGAUUUCAUUUUUUUGAACUUAUUUGAACUCCAUACUUUUUGUGUGUUCAAAAUGCACCAUUCAAAGGCACAUCACAAAAUUUCAACAAUUUCUGACUUCAUUAGGUAUAUUUCAUGCAUUUACUUAUUUUUUUUGAGCUAGUUGACCCUGAAAUUGAAAAGCACUACAAAUAAACUCUAAAAAUGUUGAAAGUUGGCAUGCUAUCAUCAUUUCACCCACAUAGCAUGUGUUAAAAAGUUGAGAGAGCUACGACAAAAACUGGAUGCACUUCGUGUACAAAACGGACAAUCUCUCUCGAAGUAUGAGGGUUUCGAACGAGAACUCAUCUCUUACAUGGAUACUAUGAAAAUGAAAAGUGUUUGAAAUUUAGUACAUUCCAUACAUGCAUUACAUAAAAGGUUUAAUACAUUAUUACAUUAUUGCACCAAUAUUCCUAUCUAUUAUUUCUGUUUUCUUCUGGGUCGUAGCCAUGGAGAAUCUUCAUCAUUCAGUAGGAUGCUUGGGUCAGUUUUCACUUUGAAGGGCGGAAUUUCACGAAACUUAUUAUAAUCUUCUGACAUGUCUGUCUUGUCAUCUACUCCCACGAUGUUUCUUUUCCUGAAAGAACUAUGUGGCGUUUUGGCUCAUCGGACAAUAUCUUCUUUUGCUGAUUUCUUUUUCUCGUUAAUGUAGACGUGUCCUUCACAUAGAAAACCUGAGCGACAUCAUUGGCUAGGACAAAUGGUUCGUCCAUGUACGCAAGAUUGUUGAGAUCCACUGUUGUCAUGCCGUACUUUUGGUCUACAACUACCCCGCCUCCUGUCAGCUUCACCCAUUUGCACCGAAAUAAAGGGAUCUUAAAAGUAGGUCCAUAGUCAAGUUCCCAUAUCUCCUCUAUGUACCCGUAAUAUGUUUCCAAACAGUGCCCAUUCUCGUCUGUUGUGGCUCAGGCAUCUCAUAUCGUAGUUGUGUUCGGUGAACUGAAGCGGCAUCGCUCUAACACACAUUUCAACAAACACCUCUAGUGCAUCAAAAAAAGUGGAGAGCAAGCACCCACCCACAAUCCUCCAUCCAAGAAAAAUGCAAGGAAGAGGGGAGAGGGGGGUGUGCUAUAUAUAGGCAGAGGACUUUAGUCCCGGUUUGAGACACAAACCGGGACUAAAGGUGGCGCACAUGCGGGCUGCCAACCGCGUAGCCCUUUAGUCCCGGUUUGGGACACGAACCGGGACUAAAGGUUCCUUACGGGCCGGGACUAAAGCCUCGAGGGAGGCAUUGGGAAUUGGGGCGACGUGGACGGGCCUUUAGUCCUGGCCCAGAGGCAGGCCGGGACUAAAGGGUCGAGGCCAAAGGCCUGUUUUCCACUAGUGAUCAACUGGCUAGCCAACUAGAGGCUUGCUAGGGACAUUGUUUUGUCUAUGUAUCCACACAUGUAUCUAUGUUUUAAUUCAAUACAAUUAUAGCAUGGAUAAUAAAUGAUUAUCUUGAAACAGGAAAUAUAAUAAUAAUAACUAUUUUAUCAUUGCCUCUAGGGCAUAUUUCCAACAGUCUCCCACUUGCACUAGAGUCAAUAAUCUAGUCCUCACAUCACCAUGCGAUUUACAUUGUAAUAAAUCUAACACCCAUACAGUUUUGGUGUUGAUCAUGUUUUGCCCGUGAAAGAGGUUUAGUCAGCAGAUCUUCUACAUUCAGAUCCGUGUGCACUUUGCAAAUAUUUACGUCCUCUCCUUCGACGUAGUCGCGGAUGAGGUUGAAGCGUCGUAUGAUGUGUCUGGUCUUCUUGUGAAACGUUGGUUCCUUUGCUAAAGCAAUGGCACCAGGUGUUGUCACAGAACAGAGUUAUUGGAUUUAGUGCGCUCGGCACAACUCCAAGAUCCGUCAUGAACUGCUUCAUCCAGACACCUUCCUUGGCUGCCUCCGAGGCAGCCAUGUACUCCGCUUCGCAUAUAGAAUCUGCUACGACGCUUUGCUUGGAACUGCACCAUCUUACCGCACCCCCAUUAAGAAUAAGUACGUAUCCGGUUUGAGACAUAGAGUCAUCCGGAUCAGUGUCAAAGCUUGCGUCGACGCAACCCUUUACAACGAGCUCUUUGUCACCUCCAUAAACGAGAAACAUUUUCUUAGUCCUUUUGAGCUACUUCAGAAUAUUCUUGAUCGCCGUCCAGUGAUCCACUCAUGGAUUACUUUGAAACCUGCCUGCCAUAUUUAUGGCCAAGCUGAUGUCUGGUCUAGUGCACAACAUUGCAUACAUAAUAGAACCUAUGGCUGAAGCGUAGGGGCCAGAACUCAUUUGUUCUCUAUCUUCCGCGAUUGCUGGGGACUGAGUCUUACUCAAUUUUAUACCUUGUAACACUGGCAAGAAUCCCUUCUUGGACUGCUCCAUUUUGAACUUCUUUAAAACUUUAUCAAGGUAUGUGCUUUGUGAAAGUCCUAUCAGGCGUUUCGAUCUAUCCCUAUUGAUCUUAAUGCCUAGAAUGUAAGUAAUGCCUAGAAUGUAAGCAGCUUCUCCUAGGUCCUUCAUAGAGAAACUUUUAUUCAAGUAAUCCUUUACGCUCUCCAAAAACUCCACAUUGUUCCCAAUCAGCAAUAUGGCAUCCAAAUAUAACAUUAGAAACGCCACAGAGCUUCCACUCACGUUCUUGUAAAUACAAGAUUCUCCAACCACUUGUAUAAACCCAAAUGCUUUGAUCACCUCAUCAAAGCGCUUAUUCCAACUGCGAGAUGCUUGCGCCAGUCCAUAAAUGGAUCGCUGGAGCUUGAAUACUUUGUUAGCAUUCUUUGGAUCAACAAAACCUUCGGGUUGCAUCGUAUACAACUCUUCCUUAAGAAAACCGUUAAGGAACGCCGUUUUGACAUCCAUCUGUCAGAUUUCAUAAUAAAAAAAUGCAGCUAUUGCUAACAUAAUUCGGACAGACUUAAGCAUCGCUACCGGUGAGAACGUCUCAUCGUAGUCAACUCCUUGAACUUGUGAAAAGCCCUUUGCCACAGGUCGAGCUUUAUAAACGGUCACAUUACCGUCCGCGUCUGUCUUCUUCUUAAAGAUCCAUUUGUUCUGAAUAGCCUUGCGGCCUUCAGGCAAUACUUCCAAAGUCCACACUUUAUUUUCAUACAUAGAUCCUAUCUCGGACUUCCUGGUCUCCAGCCAUUUGUUGGAAUCCGGGCCCACCAUUGCUUCUUCAUAAUUCGCAGGUUCAUUAUUGUCUAACAACAUGAUAGAUAAGACAGGAUUACCGUACCACUCUGGAGUAGUACGUGAUCUUGUGGACGUGCGAGGUCCGGUAGCAACUUGAUCCGAAGUUUCAUGAUCAUCAUCAUUAAUUUCCUCCUCAACCAGCGUCACUUCGACAGAGGUUUCCCCCUGCCCUGCGCUACCAUCUAGAGGGGUUAGAGGUUCGACCACCUCAUAAAGCUCUAUCUUCCUCCCACUCAAUUCUUUCGAGAGAAACUCCUUCUCAAGAAAAGCUCCAUUGUUAGCAACAAACACUUUGCCCUCGGAUUUGAGAUAGAAGGUGUACUCAACUGUCUUCUUUGGGUAACCUACGAAGACACACUUUUUCGCUUUGGGUUCCAGCUUUUCAGUCUGAAACUUUUUUACAUAAGCAUCACAUCCCCAAACUUUAAGAAACGACAAUUUUGGUCUCUUGCCACACCACAGUUCGUAUGGUGUCGUCUUAACGGAUUUGGAUGGUGCCCUAUUUAAAGUGAAUGCAGCUGUCUCUAAUGCAUAAUCCCAAAACGAUAACGGCAAAUCGGUAAGAGACAUCAUAGAUCGCACCAUUUCUAACACAAGUAUGAUUACGAUGUUCGGACACACCAUUACGCUGUGGUGUUCUAGGCGGUGUCAACUAUGAAACAAUUCCACAUUGUCUUAGUGAGCACCAAACUCGAAACUGAGAUACUCACCCCCACGAUCAGAACGUAGGAACUUGAUCUUCUUUUUACGAUGAUUUUCAACUUCACUUUGAAAUUGCUUGAACUUCUCAAAUGUUUCAGACUUGUGCUUCAUCAAGUAGAUAUAUCCAUACCUACUCAAAUCGUCAGUGAAGGUGAGAAAAUAAUGAUAUCCGCCGCGCGCCUCCAAACACAUCGGACCGCAUACAUCGGUAUGUAUGAUUUCCAACAAAUCACUUGCACGCUCCAUUGUUCCGGAGAACGGAGUCUUAGUCAUCUUGCCCAUGAGGCAUGGUUCGCACGUGUCAAGUGAUUCAAAAUCAAGUGACUCCAAAACCCAUCGGAAUGGAGUUUCAUCAUGCGCUUUACACCAAUAUGACUUAAGCGGCAGUGCCACAAAAACAUGGCGCUAUCAUUGUUAACUUUACAUAUUUUGGUCUCAAUGUUAUGUAUAUGUGUAUCAUCGCUAUAUAUCAAGAUUUCAUAUGAACAAUCCUCUCACAUUGGGUGCAUGACCAUAAAAGAUAUUACUCAUAAAAAUAGAACAACCAUUAUUCUCUGAUUUAAACGAGUAACCGUCUCGCAAUAAACAAGAUCCAGAUAUAAUGUUCAUGCUUAACGCAGGCACUAAAUAACAAUUAUUUAAGUUCAUAACUAAUCCUGAUGGUAACUGAAGUGAGACUGUGCCGACGGUGAUUGCAUCAACCUUGGAACCAUUUCCCACGCGCAUCGUCACUUCAUCCUUCGUCAGCCUUCGUUUAUUCCGCAGUUCCUACUUCGAGUUGCAAAUAUGAGCAACAGAACCAGUAUCGAAUACCCAGGCACUACUACGAGAGUUGGUUAGGUACACAUUAAUAGCAUGUAUACAAAAUAUACCUGAAUUUUCCUUGACCUCCUUCUUAUCUGUCAAAUACUUGAGGCAAUUGCGCUUCCAGUGAACCAGUCCCUUGCAAUAAUAACACUCUGUUUCAGGCUUAGUCCUUAGCAUUUUUUGAAUCUCAGGGAUAUACCGACGUAUUUUUAGUCUCUCUUCCACUACAUGCAUGCACCUAGCUUUGUGAAGGGCAUAAUUUGUCACGUGGAUAAGAAAUGGUACUACUGAAUAUUCAAGAGGACAAUUUUCCAAUGUACAACCCACCAGCUAUCUCUCCUGUUCAAAAAAUUUGCAUGCUUUGCUUGGAUUUGGUUUCCUCCAAACUCUUAUGAAGGUUAUUACAUUGAAUGAUAAUGCUAUCUUAUUGACAAGCCGAGUACAUGGAUAUGAUAUUCACGAGGACGAGAAGUAGGUUUAUAUAGGGACGGAGGGGGAGGGGGCUCGUACCAUGGUGGAGUCAUUCAUCCUUUGUACAAUGAGGAUGAAAAGCAUGAUAUAUCACACUUAACCCUUCUGCGUUCCUUGCAACCUCAACAAUAGGAUGAGCAUAUUUCUUUCUAACUCAUAGUUACUUUUAGAGGAUCCUUCUCAUAUAGGCUGUUAAAAUUAGUCACACAAUAUUUUGAUGGGAAUAAGAGUACUCCUUGUGAAACCAUCACUGAUAUCCUUGGGAUGCCACCAUGAUAACCCCCAUAGAAGCCACCAAUCAUAAUAGUCUCAUAAAUGGUUCCUACUAACAUGCAACUAGAUCAAUCUUGUGGACGAAGCCAAUGCCACGUACAAUCAUGAGGCCCUUCCAAGUGGGACGGGAAUGACGUGGAAAAUUUCUCGCUUCAGAUACAGAUUCUCGCUUCAAUGGCCACACGUGGUCCCCAUUGUCCUAUAUGGCAAAUAACCGGCCACCAUUGGGGCUAUGCAUUGUACCAGGGGCUAUGCAUAUCAGAUUUCAAAGAUGAACAACCAAGGAGAAAUAUCCAAGCACAGCAGUGCGGAGGAUCGCCAUACUAAAAAGUGCAACUGCACUAUUUGGAUGGAACGAGCGCAUCCUCAGGCAGCACGUCAUUCCACUUUAUUCUGGGUUUUUUUUUCAAAAUACUAUAACUUUUGAACCAGCGUGAGAACGACGAUCCGUUUUCACAGCUAUGUUUCUUACGAUGAGCUCUUCAUAACUAGAUCACAUAUGGAUAGGUUUCGACAAACUUUUCUUUGAGCAAUUGUGGGGUGAUAUUUAGACAACUUUAGUGCUAAAGAAAAGCAACUUCUUAUUAGUGCGCGUAGUAUGAUCGCCUAUCAACGAAAAAUUCUUUAAAAUUAUCUAUCAUGACUAGAAGGUUAAAUACCUUCACCCUUUAGCAACCAAUUGACAAAUAUGGUCAGCUAUUUUUAAACUAAAAUGAUUAAAUUGUGUAUCGGAUCUGCAUGCUCGGCUCGGCAUGUGUUGGAUGUCCAUUAUUUCAUGUAUGAACAAAAAUCAAAAAGCUAUAACUAUCAAACCAUGUGCCGAAAUUAUGAUAUGUUCUCACCGUUGGGUUCCUCGUGACGAACUCUUCGAAACAAGAUCCCAAAUGAAUAUGUUUUGAAGAAUUUUUUUCAAAAGCAACUUCGAUGCUAGAUGAGGCAACUUUACUGCUAAAAAGAAUUACUUUGAUGCUAGAUGUAUUGCAUCGUGUGUAUACAUAUGAGUUGUUUGUUGAAUGCACUGAAGUUGCGCAAAAACACACUAAAAGUUGCUUACUUUUUUGUGAUACUUGAGUCCAAUUAUGGCAACUAUUCACAAAUAGAGGCAACUGAGCAUUAAUGGCACGCAAAUGAACAUUAACCGUAGGCAGUUGACCAUCAGAAAUAGAGAACUGAGCAUCAAAAUUGAGCUACUUCAUAAAAUUUUGUAGGAAACUCAGCGUCAAAAUUGAGCAAUUUCAUACUAUUUUAGGCAACUGAUCAUCAUUGUUUAAUUAUGUAAAGCUUUUAGAGGUGAUCUAGUCAACUGUUAGUCGUGGUAACCAACUUAGAAGAAUUCUUCGCUGAUAGAUAGUCAUACUAAGGUGGGAAUGGAGUUGCUUGCCUACAGCACUAAAGUUGCCUCAACUAGCACACAACGUUGCUAAAAAAAAGUUCGUUGAAAUCUAUCCAUAUGGGAUCUAGUUUUGAAGAGCUCGUCGUAAGAAACAAAGCCGUGAAAACGGAUCGUUAUUUUGAUACCUGGUUCAAAAGUUAUGACUUUUCGAAUUUUUUUAAACGUUAAUAUAUACACGUCGUUGACUGUGUUAAGGUGCGGCAGCUACCUCUCAUGGACGCCGCUGCGCUCGGUAGCCGCGUGCCACAACCAGAUGCCCAUAACAUGGAGAACACCAACGUGGCUCCGAGCCUAUGCCCCACGGCAAUGGAAGUCACGAGCCAUGUAGACAUAGGAUACCUAAACCCGUAGCGCCAACUUGCAUGCAUAGGUACUCUGCAAAUUUUAAUCAUAAAAGUCACACUAAGAUUAGCGUCAUAGCUGAAACAUAUCAAUUCCACUUUUGAUACAUAUUCCUUUCUAAGGUGGUUUGCUUCCAUAUAAUCACCUAAACACAUCAACAGAGGAGAUCUUUACGUAUCCCCUCUUAAUAAAAAGCAGGAUGGUCCUUAAAAACAAAAUAUGUCAUCCACAUCAAUACGCCACAUGUGUACAUACCACCUAGACCUCUUUGUUUGGAGAGAAUCACACUAAUCAACUAGGCCAUCUAAACACUCAUGCCAAUUUAAUUCUUUUUUUCGUGCUCAUUUUGGUACCAACCUUUCUUCACCUAUUAUUUUUCUUCAUUUUUUUGUUUUUGUUUCUUUAAAAAAUUGUUUCUUUUCUUUUUGAAAACAUACUAGCUCUUUAAGAAACAUUUAAAAUUUCAAAAAAAUGGUCCUCUUUCAAAAAGAUGUUAGAUAUUUCAAAAAUAAUUUGUGUCUCUCGAUGUUGCUCAGAAUUUCAAAAAGAGCAAAGAAAUUUUUUAACAUGGACAUUUUUGGAAAAAAACAUUUCCUCAAAAACACUACCAAAGUUUUGAAAUCUUUGAAGAUUUCUUGAAAUGACAACAUCCAUUUCGUGAAUAUUUUUGGAAGUUCUCAAAUAUUCCUGUUUUAAAUAAUUUUUUCCAGAAAUACAACAAAUGUUAGGUCAACUUUGGAAAAAAUAUUUUCAUCUGUUUUUCGUAUUUUUGUGUUUGACUUACAAUUUUGUUAGUGUUUACAAAAAAUGUUUGAAAAAAAUCAAAAAUUAUGUCACUAUUUAAAAAAAAUUAUUUGUGUUUUGACAUUCUAUACAAUUUCUAAAGAAAACAAACAUUGUUUUCAAAUUUUGGUACAAUUUUAUAAAAUAUGAACGUUUGUAUUUUAAAACACAAUUUAAAAAUGUGAACAUUUUAUUUUAAAAAUAGAACAAAUUUUUAAAAGCAUCAGUAUUUAUUCAAAAAAAGGAAUGAAAAUCAAAAAACACAAAUAAAUAAAAAAUCUUUACCUAAUAAUAAAAAGGCUAUCGCUUCCGUCGGAAAACCCACCGAGGUGAUUUUACAAAAAAGCCCUUACUAUUUAUGACAUUAAACUCGUAGUAUAUAUUAAAUAUGUUUUUAAAUACUCAUAUCUUUUAAACCGUAACUCCAAAUUUAACAUAUUAUACAUGGAAUUUGAUUAGAAAAAUAUGUAGAAUUGAAAUAUGAUAUUAUUUUAUCUGUUAAACGUUUAAUAAAAAUACUAUCUAGGGUGCAAUCUUAAUAAAUAAGUCAUUAUUCGUCUUUCUUUCAUACCGGUACUCAUCCGGAUUGGGGGUGAACACGUCAACAAAAUCAGGAUUAGAGAUGAAACUGAAGGUCACUUGAUUGAUUCUUUGUACGUAUUAAAACUACAUGCAAGCCGUGUUAAAAUAGAAGACCUGUGAAAGUUUGAACUGCAUUUUUGUAGGAUAAGACCAUAUUUAUUUGUAUCGUAACUAUAAAUUCUCAAAUUAUAGACAUUUUUUAUAAAUUAAGAGCGUGUGUCGUGUGGUAUUUCUUUCUUCCGUUGCAACGCAUGGGCUCUUUUGCUAGUGAACAAAAAACAGGUAGGAAAUAAACCACCAGGGUGUGUCAUGGUGUGUUAGCCCAGAACGUGUGUGCGCGCCUGUGUCCCGGUGGCGUCAAACAGGUAAGAAAUAAAGACCGUGCUCCUGUGUGCUUCAUGGCUUGGCAAGUUCGUUAACUGCAUGUGUGCUUGUGCUAGCUGAGUUAUGUGUUAGUGCAUGGAUUAUAUAGUUGCUGGGUUAUUGUUAGGGCAUGCAUGCCUGUUAGUUGCGCACUUAGGUCGUAGAGAUAUGCUAGGAAUAGUUAGACGUGUGUUUGUGGCGUUCGCGGUGGACCAAGGUUGCUUGUAUAUCAAAUACUACCUCUGUAGUUUUCUUUUUCAAUUAUAGUUAUUUAGGUAUAGAGGAAGUAUUAGGGACGCGUCUAGUAGGCGGUAGAGUUAGUCGGCGGUAAAGGGACAAUCCCACGUGCCCAAAUCUUCAAAAUCUAGUUUGGUUUUAAAAAAGUUACAAGUCAUAACUUUCAAACCGAAUAUUGAAAUUAAGAUCCGUUUUGACCAUAGGAAUCCUCGUACAUGCUCUUCGAAACUAGAUUCCACAUGGGCAUAUUUCGACAAACUUUUCUAUGUGCAAUUUAUUUCUUAUUUUGUGCAAUUGUCUAGCUGUUGAUGUGCAACUAUCUAAUAGUCAACGUGCAACUUUCUCUCUACUCGUGAACGUGCAGUUUUCAUUGAUGCCAACAGAUGUGAACGCAUUUAAACAUCCAAAUUAAGAUAUAUUUUCACCGUUGGAAUCUUUGCGAUGUGCUCUACGAAACUAGAUCAUGCAUGGGCAUGUUUCGGCAAUUUUGCAAAUGCAAUUUGUCCGAGUUAGGUGUAACUGCUUAACGGUUGAUGUGCAACUUUUCACCUAUCCAUGGACGUGUAGUUUUCAAUGAUGAUGCCUCCAUGCCAAACUACACCAUGCUAGUGAAAUGUGUAACUUUCCGUUGCCCAUACUGCAAUUGCCAAGUAGUUGAUAUGCAACUUCCCCUUGCUCAUGGAUGUGCAGUAUUUACGGUUUAUUGUCUCGGCCAACCGUCUAGCAGUGUAUGUGCAACUUCAAAUGUUAUCUAGGUCAACUGCCUACUAGUGAUGUGCAAAACAAUUCCGUACCCCUUGGAAUUAUAGUUUUCCAUGCUAGCACCAUGUCCAAACAACCCAUGCUAGUGAAUUAUGCAAUCUUAGCCCCCCCCCCCCCUAUUUGCAAGUUUCCAAUACCCUUAUGGAUGUGCAAUUUCGACCUUCCGACAAUGACUACGAGUGAGAUAUGCAACUUCAUCUAUUGCCCCAACCAACUACCUGGUAAACUAUGUGCAACUUUGAUUUUUUUGAGUGCCAUUUAGUCCCAAGUGCAACUGCUUAGCAGUUGAUGUGCAAAUUUCUACCUAUCCAUGGACUUAUAGUUUUCAGUGAAUAUUUGUCAUUGUGCCANNNNNNNNNNNNNNNNNNNNNNNNNNNNNNNNNNNNNNNNNNNNNNNNNNNNNNNNNNNNNNNNNNNNNNNNNNNNNNNNNNNNNNNNNNNNNNNNNNNNNNNNNNNNNNNNNNNNNNNNNNNNNNNNNNNNNNNNNNNNNNNNNNNNNNNNNNNNNNNNNNNNNNNNNNNNNNNNNNNNNNNNNNNNNNNNNNNNNNNNNNNNNNNNNNNNNNNNNNNNNNNNNNNNNNNNNNNNNNNNNNNNNNNNNNNNNNNNNNNNNNNNNNNNNNNNNNNNNNNNNNNNNNNNNNNNNNNNNNNNNNNNNNNNNNNNNNNNNNNNNNNNNNNNNNNNNNNNNNNNNNNNNNNNNNNNNNNNNNNNNNNNNNNNNNNNNNNNNNNNNNNNNNNNNNNNNNNNNNNNNNNNNNNNNNNNNNNNNNNNNNNNNNNNNNNNNNNNNUAUUUGUCAUUGUGCCAUAAUUUAGUACUAGUGCACUUCAAUUUCCAUCAUGUUACUUAAAUCGUAUCCAAAAUUUCUGUAUAGAGUGACUUCUAGUUUAAUCCACUAGUUUCAUUUUUAUUUUAUUUUUGAAACUUACCCACCUAAAGGCUUCCAUAUCCCAGAAGAUGUAGUGGCAGAGCCAGCCCGUGAAUGGUGCCUGAGCAAGACUAAACUCUGACGCACUAUGAGCUACCAUUUUGUCCAUGAAAACAUUGCUUCUACCCAUACAUAAUCCCGUUGCCUAGGCGUGAUUUUCUGGACUAGCCCGGGCAGCCACCCAUACAUAACCAAACCAGGGCAAAGACCUUGUGGCGUGGCGGCGGCAGCGAUUUUCUCCUUGGAUCUUGAUCUGGUUGGGAGGCGGCGCUCCUUUCCGGCCAGAUCAGCGGCGGUGACGCAGAUCGGAGACAUCAUGACUGUGGUGCGGCGGCGGCGUAGGAGGACGGCACCAGCAGCGACGAAUCUGGCCUUGACUCAGUCGGGCUGAUUCGGUGUGCUACCUAUCUCAAUCGCCGUCAGCGGUGCACUGCUCAUGGACUUGAUAUGCAGCACCAGUAUGUCUGGGACGCCGACCCUAGGCUUGGUGGUGGUGACAUUCUUCUUCGUCGAAGGUGGUCGGCAAGCUAGCUGUGCAUGGAGUGGGGACGGGCGGCUGCCGGUGAAAUCCGUAAUCCGACUUCGGUCGUGGCGGGUGACGACGGCGCCUACGCGUUGUUACCUUCUUGAAGGCGUCACCUUUGCAGUCUCCGUCUUCCCACUCGCAGUCCGGUCAGUGUCGGGCUGCUUUGGCACCGUGGUGGUGCUUCGGCCAUUCAGGCGGCGACGGCUGGAUCCUUUGAUCUAGUCUCCAGCAGAGAAGGCAGCGACUCGUGCACAAGAAGCUGGAUGGAGUUCUCCGAACAGAUCUGGGUGAAAACCUGCUCUUGACUAGAUGCCAAGGCCGGCGAUGGCGACGCUCUACGACGUCGUUUCCUUCUUGAAGGCAUAGCCGAGGAGAAGUUCUAGACCACUAUCUGGUACCUGCUUAGCAGUUGAUGUGCAAAUUUCUACCUAUCCAUGGACUUAUAGUUUUCAGUGAAGAUACCUCCAUGCCAAACUACACCAUCCAACACAAUAAGCUACGCAUCAGGAGCGAUCGCUCGCCUAUGCCACGUUGAAGAUUUAUUGUCGCUCAGGUAACACGUCCGAGGUAACUUUCUUCCCUUAUCUUCGCCACGAAGAGAGAGCCAACGCACGAGACCUCUCUCGUUCGUUUCCUCUCCCAUAGCCCGCCGCCACUAGUGUCGCCAGCGGGACAGAAACUCGCUACUCUAACGGCAGCCACGACAUUUUCUAUUUGUGAUAUACCUCGACGAUGGAGUCGGCAGAUCCAUCCAGUUGAAGUGGCUGCCGGAAGGGGUGGAGAAGAAGCCAUCGUUGGCUGGCUACGGGCUAGAUCAGGAGGAUUUGCCGCGCUUGCCACCGGAGGAAGGGACCCUCUUGAAUCCCGCUUCUUCCCGAGUGUUAGCCACACGAAUAGCCCGCAAGAAGCACCUCGAUACCGAGUACUAGCUCGGCAGAGAUCAGACGGGAAAAGUUCAGCUCCGUCCAUAUCUGCCGUGCCAACGCCGACGGUGAGGAGUUCUCGGCUCCCCAAUGGCAAGGGGACGGUAGACUGCAAGGUCGACAUCAUGCAGGCAUGCGGCACCUCCCGAGCCACCCCAGCGACAUCAUGCUCAAGGUUGUCUUCAAGGACAUCGAUAAGUUCUACCUAUCAUGGAGCUCUGAAGCGUUCACUUGCUGAACGAGAUGGCCAGGUAUGUUACCUUCUCCGAGAAGCAAGCCACCAUUGUGAUCAAGGAUCUCAUGUCAGUGGUGAAGUAUUGCCACGAAAUGGGCGUCAUCCACAGGCUAGAGGGACAUUAACUCAUUAAGUCAGGAUAUUCGUCGGUUCCAGUAUUUGUCGCUUGACCCUUCUCACGCGAGCGAUCUUCAAUGUGCCGCUGCCUUGACCUGGAAAGCUUUACCACAUAGAACAUGUUGACUAUAGAAUUAGCCUCUCAACAACCUCCUGGUCAACUGAAACCUGAUUUUGCUGAGACGCUUCAUGUUGGUUAGUAUCCACUGUGUCACAAAUAGUCUCCAGACCAGCAUAUCCAUUGGGGAUCUCCACAUUUCUGAGUAAAAUACUAGGAAUGGACGGUGGCCGAAAGACAGAUGUGUUGGUUGUUGGUGUAGUAAUCAGGCUACCAGAGAAUUUAUCGUGGUUUUGUACGUGAGCUACUAGCUAUGUUGUGCGUAUAUUUACAUGCCCUUUAAACAAAAGUUAUCGUGGUAUGUUUUCAACAAUUUUUAUCUUCAGGGUCAAGAAACUUACCGCGGUGUUUGUACGUUAGUUACCAACUUUUUAUGCAUUAUUACCAUGGUAUUCGCACCAAAGUUACUAAAGUUGUUGGGGUGACGCGAGGUGAUGAAAUAUACCUAUGGUAACUUUUAUGUGAACAGCAUGGUAACUCACACAUCAUAGACCUGAUAACUAAUGUACCUUGGUCUUGGUAAAUUUGGUGACUGAGUGGGGUUUGUUGAUGAAAUAUACCCCCGGUAACUUUUUGUGUUAAUAGCAUGAUAACUCACACAUCGCAGACAUGAUAACUUAUGUACCACAAUCCUUGUAACUUUGGCGAUGGUGGUGAGGAGGGGGGUGUUGGUGAAAUAUACCCCGACAACUAUCUGUGUGAAUAGCAUGAUAACUCACACAUCGCAAAUCUGAUAACUUAUGUACCCUAGUCCUGAUAACUUUGGCGAUGGUGGUGAUGGGUGGGGGAGGGUUGUUGGUGAAAUAUAACCAACCCCCAGUCCCUUCCAGUAACUUUUGUGUGAAAAGCAUGGUAACUCACACGUCGCAGACCUGAUAACUUAGGCACAAACAUCAUUGUAAAUUUAGACUCGAAUAAAAUGUUGUUGAAACAUACCCCAGUUACUUCUAUGAAAAUAGCACAGUAAUAUAUGCAUCACGGACAUGAUAACAUAGGUACAUAUAGCACGGUACAUUGAAAACACACCUCUGGUCACUUAUGUAUAAAUAACAUGUUAAUAUACAUAUAACAUAACUGGUAACUUUACGAUAACACUUGACCAAAAAAGUGAUCAAAUAAACCCAACCUGAGAGGAGAUCUAGUUUCAGAAUUCUCGUCGUGACAGAUUUUUUCAUGUGAAAUGGAUUGUCAAUUAGAAACAAAAAUUUGAGCUAUAAAAUAUUAUACUAUUUCGAAACAGCGAGAAUAUACAACGACGCCUCCUUUCCUAUGCUCUAGUGCAGAUGCAUGUCAAGAGAAUGAUGGAGGAGCCAUUUUAUGUCCCAUAAUUUCUAUGUAAACAUGGUGGUAACUGAAGUACCACGGAGGUGAUUACUUAUUUAGCCUAUGUGUGAUAACUUUUGAUUUGAAAAAAAGUCGCCGAAACAUACCAACAUUGGAUCUAGUUUCGAAGAUCUCGUCGUGAUGAAUCUUUUAUUGAAAACAAUUUUUCAAUUGGAGUGACAGUUUGACCUCCAAAAAGUUUUAAAUUUUUAAUUUUAAUGGAAUGUUAAUUAUACUCCAUGCACUAUGGAAACUUUAAGUGAUGGUGACUACAAUAAAGUAAACUAAGUAGAAAGAAAGAAACUUGUAUGUAAUCUUAUUUGCAUAGGGCAAGCAAGACCCCAAUGCCACAAUGAAUCUUUCAUCUCAAACAUCAAGUAAGUCACUUUUUUUCUUGGAUAUUAAAGGUACUAAGCAAUGGACUAGUGAAACACACAUGAUGCGAUUAACUCAACGAAAAUGAUGCCACGUUGAAGUUUCCAUUCUUUGAAUUUGUUGGUACUGUAUCGCAUGGCAAAUACUAGUAAAUUACGUAAUCAUGGUAGGGUUGAGGUGGUACUGCAUGCACGGUGGAUGCGCAAGGGCGAGGAAGCUACGUGAACAAUCGUAAGGAUCCUAGCCGGAUUCAUACCUAAGGAUGGUAGGCGGAAAGAGAUGGGAUCGAGCGCCGCCAUCGCCGCCAAUUCACCCGCAUCGAAGAUGUGGUGCCUUAUACUUCUUCCCGUCGUCGGGCACGUUGAGGACAGUGAAGGUGUGGGGGAUUGGGGGUUAUUGGGUGGGGUUUGGCUGCCGGACGAGAGGAUGAUGAAUCUCACCGGGCACGUCGAGGACAGUGAAGGGCACAUAUAGGAGGGUGAGGACUGGAUCUGGAUGGGGUAGAUGUGGAUCUAGCCGUGGAGGUGAUCGGUUGGAAAAAAAUAGAUUUCGUCCUAGACCAUUAUGCCCUUCUCGGAAUAAAACUAUUAAAUUUAAUCAUUUAUAAUCCCCCACCAGAUCGGACGGCUAAUAAAAAUCAAAGGGGUAACUACUGGUGAGUACUCCGAGUACUAUGCCAAUCACCGUAAAACAACUCUUAUCUAUCUUGGAACUUAUUUAUUGUCCCAAUUUGUUUGCUACUUGAGAACCCAAGACCUUCUUGUGUUGCUUGUUUAAUAAAAUGGUUACAUGCGUCGAUUGUUGCUGAGGGUGGGGGCUGUGAUCCUCCUUUUCUGAAAAAAAAUGUUUAUUGAAAAUCAAGUCUGGUGGCGCCCGACACUGAGAUGCCUGAAUUUCGGUCAUUUGAAAAACUUUCGGCCAAAGUUUGACCACAAUUUGUAAGAACCUGAAUGGAAUUUGAGCAAAAACUAUUUGUCGGCUGAAAGGUACUUUCUGCUCCUGGCUGUUGGCAGCCCCAAAAUUAAUUUUUGGUUUGGCUUACUACACAAAAGGGAAAAUAGAGGGCAAAAAAAAAAAAGAUGCCCAUGUCACAUUCUGUGCCAUGGGUUGUUACAUUCAUAGGGUCAAACAGAAUGCUCGCUCUAUGUUGCCAGCUUCUCCGGUGCUUCGGCCAGCUGCAAGCUCACAGCUCACCAAGAAAACUAGGAGACUCUCUUCCGUGUCUCCGGUGAACGCAUUCAACUAGCAGUUUUUCAUCUUAUCCUUGCAUAUGGUUUCCUCCAAAUUCUCACCAAAGCUAAGUAAAUUGGAAGUUAAGCCUAUCUUAUUGACAGUUUGAUACCAUGAAUACGAUAUUCAGAGGGUAAUUGUGUGUGUAUAUACUGAUAGAUUUGUGUGGUCUUGCAUGGCACACUGGGGGUCUUUCUCAUGCUUUGCACGUGCUUGAGAAACUGGAAGGAGAGUGAAAGGCUUGAUGCCAGAUGGGAAUGUGAUAUUCGAAGGGAAAUUGUGUGUAUAUAGAUGGAGAUGGGCGGAGUUACAUGCGAUGGUGGGGUCUUUGAGAAAUUCCAAGGAGUAUGAAAAGCAUGAUAGCGCACAGUUAGACUUGGUUCCUGGAUUGCAACCUCGGUAUUAACACAAUUCCUGUGAGCAAGAAUUAGGCACAUGAUACUUCCAUGGGAAUACUAGCACAGAAUCGGGUAACUUUGCUAACCCCAGAAAUCAGACCUUAACUAAGAAAAUGACAGUGGCACAACGGAAACUAGAGUGUCUUAUUCAGUGGCACGCACUGUGUCUUAUUUUUAGAUUCCAUGUUUUAGAUGCAUUGUCAUUUAAUUGCUUUAUUUAUUUUAUAUUGUAUAAAUCCAUUUAAAAUAAAAGUUAGAAGAAGGUCUGAUACAAUGGAGGUAUAUCAUAAUUGAAGCGACAUUCCUAACCAACAGAUCUACAGUACGUCCAUAUUGGAACUGAACCGCUCAGCGUGUCCAAGUUGACAAAUCCAUAUUAGAAUGAGACAUGGUAGAGCUUCAGUUGGAUGUAUCCCAAGCUGUAUCUCUUAUUGACAAAUCUAUUGGAAUAAUUUUUAAGCAAAAAACACUCAUUAAAACUAGAAAAAUACAGUUAAUUAGGAUCAAGAUCGAUUACAGAUACAACACUAUUGAAGCAAAAUCUUGAAGGAUAAGAUUUACAAUUGCAAUGUGCUAUCUCGGUUGUAGCACAAUGUGGAAUGAUUUAUGAGCGGUCCAAAGGAAUAAUAAUAAUAAGUGUGGCAAUUAUUUGCUGCCGGGAUGAUGAGGUACAUUGGAAUCAUUCCAACAAAAAAGCAUUCACACUUCUUGUAUCUUGGAAGCCUCCAAUAAGGGCAGAUCCUUCAUCAGCGUCGUGUAAAGGGGUACGUUGGCUGAAAAUAUGAUGUUUUUUCCCGGAUGUAUGGUAAGCUACAGGUGACCCUUGUUCACAUUACCAGAGACAACUAGGCACCCACUAUGGCGGCGUCGCGCAUAGUCCCGCGACAGUGUUGAAUUAGCACAAAUUAGGCUAACACCAGCACAGCCUAGCUAGAACAAUGUUUUUCUAAUUUGAAUACAAAGCGGGACAGGUUCGGGC